AGAGUUUGAUCCUGGCUCAGGACGAACGCUGGCGGCGCGCCUAACACAUGCAAGUCGAACGAGCGAGAGAGAGCUUGCUUUCUCGAGCGAGUGGCGAACGGGUGAGUAACGCGUGAGGAACCUGCCUCAAAGAGGGGGACAACAGUUGGAAACGACUGCUAAUACCGCAUAAGCCCACAGCUCGGCAUCGAGUAGAGGGAAAAGGAGCAAUCCGCUUUGAGAUGGCCUCGCGUCCGAUUAGCUAGUUGGUGAGGUAACGGCCCACCAAGGCGACGAUCGGUAGCCGGACUGAGAGGUUGAACGGCCACAUUGGGACUGAGACACGGCCCAGACUCCUACGGGAGGCAGCAGUGGGGAAUAUUGCACAAUGGGGGAAACCCUGAUGCAGCGACGCCGCGUGGAGGAAGAAGGUCUUCGGAUUGUAAACUCCUGUUGUUGAGGAAGAUAAUGACGGUACUCAACAAGGAAGUGACGGCUAACUACGUGCCAGCAGCCGCGGUAAAACGUAGGUCACAAGCGUUGUCCGGAAUUACUGGGUGUAAAGGGAGCGCAGGCGGGAAGACAAGUUGGAAGUGAAAUCUAUGGGCUCAACCCAUAAACUGCUUUCAAAACUGUUUUUCUUGAGUAGUGCAGAGGUAGGCGGAAUUCCCGGUGUAGCGGUGGAAUGCGUAGAUAUCGGGAGGAACACCAGUGGCGAAGGCGGCCUACUGGGCACCAACUGACGCUGAGGCUCGAAAGUGUGGGUAGCAAACAGGAUUAGAUACCCUGGUAGUCCACACCGUAAACGAUGAUUACUAGGUGUUGGAGGAUUGACCCCUUCAGUGCCGCAGUUAACACAAUAAGUAAUCCACCUGGGGAGUACGACCGCAAGGUUGAAACUCAAAGGAAUUGACGGGGGCCCGCACAAGCAGUGGAGUAU
rnacentral:rRNA from 1 species